rnacentral:rRNA from 1 species
ACUAAGCGUACACGGUGGAUGCCCUGGCAGUCAGAGGCGAUGAAGGACGUGCUAAUCUGCGAAAAGCGCCGGCGAGGUGAUAUGAACCUUUGACCCGGCGAUGUCCGAAUGGGGAAACCCAGUGUGAUUCGUCACACUAUCGUUAACUGAAUACAUAGGUUAACGAGGCGAACCGGGGGAACUGAAACAUCUAAGUACCCCGAGGAAAAGAAAUCAACCGAGAUUCCCCCAGUAGCGGCGAGCGAACGGGGAGCAGCCCAGAGUCUGAAUCAGCUUGUGUGUUAGUGGAACGGUCUGGAAAGUCCGACGGUACAGGGUGAUAGUCCCGUACACGAAAAUGCACAGGCUGUGAACUCGAAGAGUAGGGCGGGACACGUGGUAUCCUGUCUGAAUAUGGGGGGACCAUCCUCCAAGGCUAAAUACUCCUGACUGACCGAUAGUGAACCAGUACCGUGAGGGAAAGGCGAAAAGAACCCCGGCGAGGGGAGUGAAAAAGAACCUGAAACCGUGUACGUACAAGCAGUGGGAGCACCUUCGUGGUGUGACUGCGUACCUUUUGUAUAAUGGGUCAGCGACUUAUAUUCUGUAGCAAGGUUAACCGUAUAGGGGAGCCGAAGGGAAACCGAGUCUUAACUGGGCGUUAAGUUGCAGGGUAUAGACCCGAAACCCGGUGAUCUAGCCAUGGGCAGGUUGAAGGUUGGGUAACACUAACUGGAGGACCGAACCGACUAAUGUUGAAAAAUUAGCGGAUGACUUGUGGCUGGGGGUGAAAGGCCAAUCAAACCGGGAGAUAGCUGGUUCUCCCCGAAAGCUAUUUAGGUAGCGCCUCGUGAACUCAUCUUCGGGGUAGAGCACUGUUUCGGCUAGGGGGCCAUCCCGGCUUACCAACCCGAUGCAAACUACGAAUACCGAAGAAUGUUAUCACGGGAGACACACGGCGGGUGCUAACGUCCGUCGUGAAGAGGGAAACAACCCAGACCGCCAGCUAAGGUCCCAAAGUCAUGGUUAAGUGGGAAACGAUGUGGGAAGGCCCAGACAGCCAGGAUGUUGGCUUAGAAGCAGCCAUCAUUUAAAGAAAGCGUAAUAGCUCACUGGUCGAGUCGGCCUGCGCGGAAGAUGUAACGGGGCUAAACCAUGCACCGAAGCUGCGGCAGCGACACUAUGUGUUGUUGGGUAGGGGAGCGUUCUGUAAGCCGUUGAAGGUGGCCUGUGAGGGUUGCUGGAGGUAUCAGAAGUGCGAAUGCUGACAUAAGUAACGAUAAAGCGGGUGAAAAGCCCGCUCGCCGGAAGACCAAGGGUUCCUGUCCAACGUUAAUCGGGGCAGGGUGAGUCGACCCCUAAGGCGAGGCCGAAAGGCGUAGUCGAUGGGAAACAGGUUAAUAUUCCUGUACUUGGUGUUACUGCGAAGGGGGGACGGAGAAGGCUAUGUUAGCCGGGCGACGGUUGUCCCGGUUUAAGCAUGUAGGCGGAACGAUUAGGUAAAUCCGGUCGUUUUUUAACGCUGAGGUGUGAUGACGAGGCACUACGGUGCUGAAGUAACAAAUGCCCUGCUUCCAGGAAAAGCCUCUAAGCAUCAGGUAACAUCAAAUCGUACCCCAAACCGACACAGGUGGUCAGGUAGAGAAUACCAAGGCGCUUGAGAGAACUCGGGUGAAGGAACUAGGCAAAAUGGUGCCGUAACUUCGGGAGAAGGCACGCUGAUAUGUAGGUGAAGCCCCUGCGGGUGGAGCUGAAAUCAGUCGAAGAUACCAGCUGGCUGCAACUGUUUAUUAAAAACACAGCACUGUGCAAACACGAAAGUGGACGUAUACGGUGUGACGCCUGCCCGGUGCCGGAAGGUUAAUUGAUGGGGUUAGCGGUAACGCGAAGCUCUUGAUCGAAGCCCCGGUAAACGGCGGCCGUAACUAUAACGGUCCUAAGGUAGCGAAAUUCCUUGUCGGGUAAGUUCCGACCUGCACGAAUGGCGUAAUGAUGGCCAGGCUGUCUCCACCCGAGACUCAGUGAAAUUGAACUCGCUGUGAAGAUGCAGUGUACCCGCGGCAAGACGGAAAGACCCCGUGAACCUUUACUAUAGCUUGACACUGAACACUGGUCCUUGAUGUGUAGGAUAGGUGGGAGGCUUUGAAGUGUGGACGCCAGUCUGCAUGGAGCCGUCCUUGAAAUACCACCCUUUAAUGGCUGGUGUUCUAACGUAGACCCGUAAUCCGGGUUGCGGACAGUGUCUGGUGGGUAGUUUGACUGGGGCGGUCUCCUCCCAAAGAGUAACGGAGGAGCACGAAGGUUAGCUAAUCCUGGUCGGACAUCAGGAGGUUAGUGCAAUGGCAUAAGCUAGCUUGACUGCGAGAGUGACGGCUCGAGCAGGUGCGAAAGCAGGUCAUAGUGAUCCGGUGGUUCUGAAUGGAAGGGCCAUCGCUCAACGGAUAAAAGGUACUCCGGGGAUAACAGGCUGAUACCGCCCAAGAGUUCAUAUCGACGGCGGUGUUUGGCACCUCGAUGUCGGCUCAUCACAUCCUGGGGCUGAAGUAGGUCCCAAGGGUAUGGCUGUUCGCCAUUUAAAGUGGUACGCGAGCUGGGUUUAGAACGUCGUGAGACAGUUCGGUCCCUAUCUGCCGUGGGCGCUGGAGAAUUGAGGGGGGCUGCUCCUAGUACGAGAGGACCGGAGUGGACGCAUCACUGGUGUUCGGGUUGUCAUGCCAAUGGCACUGCCCGGUAGCUAAAUGCGGAAGAGAUAAGUGCUGAAAGCAUCUAAGCACGAAACUUGCCCCGAGAUGAGUUCUCCCUGAGCCUUUAAGGCUCCUGAAGGAACGUUGAAGACGACGACGUUGAUAGGUCGGGUGUGUAAGCGCAGCGAUGCGUUGAGCUAACCGAUACUAAUGAACCGUGAGGCUUAACC